rnacentral:rRNA from 1 species
UCAAGCGACUAAGGGCAUAUGAUGGAUACCUUGGCGUUAGAAGACGAUGAAAGGCGUGGUUAACUGCGAUAAGCUUCGGGGAGCUGUUAGCAAGCGUUGAGCCGGAGAUUCCUGAAUUGGAAAACCAAUUCUGAUUAAUCUCAGAAUAUUCCGGUCUGAAUAAAAUAGGAUCGGGAGGGUAACCAGGGGAAUUGAAACAUCUUAGUACCCUGAGGAAAAGAAAGCAAUAGCGAUUCCCUGAGUAGUGGCGAACGAAACGGGAUGAGCCUAAACCUGAUGUACGUUAAAGCUCGUGUGCGUUGUACAUCCGGGGUAGCGGGAUUUGAUCGGAUGGAGAUACGAAUUCAUCGACGAGUCAAAAAAAUAUAUCUUAGCUGAAUAGUCUGGAAAGAUUAACCAUAGAUGGUGAUAGUCCAGUAAGUGAAAAGAUAUAUUCUCGUUGGAUCAAAUACCCAAGUAGCACGGGACACGAGGAAUCCUGUGUGAAUCUGUGUCGACCACGACAUAAGGCUAAAUACUCUCUAACGACCGAUAGUGAACUAGUACCGUGAGGGAAAGGUGAAAAGCACCCCUGUGAGGGGAGUGAAAUAGAACAUGAAAUCAUAUGCCUACAAGCGGUAGGAGUCCUAUGAAUCUCUGUUCGCAGAGAUUCAGGGUGACUGCGUACCUUUUGCAUAAUGAGCCGACGAGUUACUUCUGCGUAGCAAGGUUAAGCCGUGAGGUGGAGCCGUAGCGAAAGCGAGUCUGAAUAGGGCGUUUUAGUUACGUGGAGUAGACCCGAAGCCGGGUGAGCUACCCAUGGCCAGGGUAAAGUACUGUUAACACGGUAUGGAGGCCCGAACGAGUUGACGUUGAAAAGUCAUUCGAUGAGCUGUGGGUAGGGGUGAAAGGCUAAACAAACCCGGUGAUAGCUGGUUCUCCUCGAAAUAGUUUUAGGACUAGCCUUACAAAUUAAUUAAUGGUGGUAGGGCGCUGGAUGGACUAGGGGCCCCUACAGGGCUACCAAACCCAACCAAUCUUCGAAUGCCAUUAAUAGUAUUGUAGGAGUCAGACUGUAGGGGAUAAGCUCUAUAGUCGAAAGGGAAAGAGCCCAGACCGCCAGCUAAGGUCCCAAAGAUAAGCUAAGUGGGAAAGGUUGUAGGAGUGCAUAGACAACCAGGAGGUUGGCUUAGAAGCAGCCAUCCUUUAAAGAAAGCGUAACAGCUCACUGGUCAAGUGAUCUUGCGCCGAAAAUUUAACGGGGCUUAAGCUUAUCACCGAAGCUGCGGAUUGGAUUCAUGUUAUCUUGUUUAUUUAAUAGGCGAGGUAAACUGAAUCUAGUGGUAGAGGAGCGUUCCACAUUAGGCUGAAGCCAGAUCGAAAGGACUGGUGGACGAGGUGGAAGUGAGCAUGUCGGCAUAAGUAACGAUAAAUUCCGCGAGAAACGGAAUCGCCGUAAACCUGAGGUUUCCUGAGGAAGGCUAAUCCGCUCAGGGUAAGUCGGCCCCUAAGCCGAGGCUGAAAGGCGUAGGUGAUGGGAAACGGGUUAAAAUUCCUGUACCACCGUAAUAACGUUUGAGUGAUGGGGUAACGUAGGAGGGUAGGUCAUCUUCGUGUUGGAAUACGAAGUUUAAAUCUGUAGGGGGAUAUCCCAGGCAAAUCCGGGAUAUCAUUAACCCUGAGAGGUGAUGAGGAGUCCUUCGGGACAUAAACUGACUGAUCCCAUGCUGCCAAGAAAAACCUCUAGCGAGUUAUUAAGGUGACCGUACCGUAAACCGACACAGGUAGGUGGGGUGAGAAUCCUAAGGCGCUUGAGAGAACCCUCGUUAAGGAACUCGGCAAAUUAACUCCGUAACUUCGGGAGAAGGAGUGCCCCUAUUAGGUGAAAGGAUUUACUCCUGGAGCUGAGAGGGGUUGCAGUGAAAUGGCGGCUGCGACUGUUUACUAAAAACACAGGUCUCUGCUAAGUCGUAAGACGAUGUAUAGGGACUGACGCCUGCCCGGUGCUGGAAGGUUAAGAGGAGAGGUUAGGUCUAUUUUAGGCUGAAGCUUUGAAUCGAAGCCCCAGUAAACGGCGGCCGUAACUAUAACGGUCCUAAGGUAGCGAAAUUCCUUGUCGGGUAAGUUCCGACCUGC